rnacentral:rRNA from 1 species
GACGAACGCUGGCGGCGUGCUUAACACAUGCAAGUCGAGCGAUGAGAUCCCUUCGGGGAUGGAUUAGCGGCGAACGGGUGAGGAACACGUGAAGAAUCUGCCUUCAACUCUGGGAUAACACCGGGAAACCGGUGCUAAUACCGGAUAUGAGCCUUGAUCGCAUGAUCGGGGCUGGAAAGUUUUUCGGUUGAAGAUGACUUCGCGGCCUAUCAGCUUGUUGGUGAGGUAAUGGCUCACCAAGGCGACGACGGGUAGCCGGCCUGAGAGGGCGACCGGCCACACUGGGACUGAGACACGGCCCAGACUCCUACGGGAGGCAGCAGUGGGGAAUAUUGGGCAAUGGACGAAAGUCUGACCCAGCGACGCCGCGUGCGGGAUGAAGGCCUUCGGGUUGUAAACCGCUUUCAGCAGGGAAGAAGCGAAAGUGACGGUACCUGCAGAAGAAGCACCGGCUAACUAUGUGCCAGCAGCCGCGGUAAUACAUAGGGUGCAAGCGUUGUCCGGAAUUAUUGGGCGUAAAGAGCUCGUAGGUGGUUAGUUACGUCGGAUGUGAAAAUCUAGGGCUCAACCCUAGACCUGCAUCCGAUACGGGCUAGCUUGAGUUUGGUAGGGGAGACUGGAAUUCCUGGUGUAGCGGUGGAAUGCGCAGAUAUCAGGAGGAACACCAAUGGCGAAGGCAGGUCUCUGGGCCAAUACUGACACUGAGGAGCGAAAGUGUGGGGAGCGAACAGGAUUAGAUACCCUGGUAGUCCACACAGUAAACGGUGGGCACUAGUUGUGGGGACCUUCCACGGUCUCUGCGACGCAGCUAACGCAUUAAGUGCCCCGCCUGGGGAGUACGAUCGCAAGAUUA